rnacentral:rRNA from 1 species
UAGGGAAUUUUCGUCAAUGGGGGGAACCCUGAACGAGCAAUGCCGCGUGUGUGAAGAAGGUCUUCGGAUCGUAAAGCACUGUUGUAAGUGAAGAAUGCCAUAUAGAGGAAAUGCUAUGUGGGUGACGGUAGCUUACCAGAAAGCCACGGCUAACUACGUGCCAGCAGCCGCGGUAAUACGUAGGUGGCAAGCGUUAUCCGGAAUCAUUGGGCGUAAAGGGUGCGUAGGUGGCACGAUAAGUCUGAAGUAAAAGGCAACAGCUCAACUGUUGUAUGCUUUGGAAACUGUCGAGCUAGAGUGCAGAAGAGGGGCGAUGGAAUUCCAUGUGUAGCGGUAAAAUGCGUAGAUAUAUGGAGGAACACCAGUGGCGAAGCGGUCGCCUGGUCUGUAACUGACACUGAUGCACGAAAGCGUGGGGAGCAAAUAGGAUUAGAUACC